CGGGUCCCUGGGUUCGAUCCUCAGCACCACAUAAAAAUAAAGACAAGGUCUCGCCAUUUUGCUGAGGCUGGCCUCGAACUUGUGAUCCUCCUGCCUCAGCCUCCUGAUUCACAGAAAUUACAGGCCUGUGUCACAGCACCGAGCAGAUGAGACCUCCUGCCUCUCAGGCACAGGUCUGGAAGCAGGAGGUUGCUGUCCCGGGACAGUAUGUGCUUGCAGGUCGCUGCUGCCCACCCAGGGCCACCACUCCACUGCUCCAAGGCUCUGCUGCCGCUUCGUGCAGGGCCCUGGGUUUGAUCCUCAGCACCACAUAAAAAUAAAUAAACGAAAUAGAAGUAUUGUAUCCAACUACAAGUAAUAAAUAAAUAAGUAAAAUGCAUUAGCCCACAAGAUACAGUGGACUGUUUCUGUAACCCCAUCGACUCAGGAGGCUGAGGCAGGAGGAUUGCAAGUUGGAGGUCAGCCUCAACCACUUAGGGAAACCUUGUCUCCAAAUAAAACAUUAAAAUAGACAGGGAUGUGGCUCAGUGGUGAAGCACCCCUGCGGUCAAUUUCCAAUAUCAAAAGAAAAGGAAGAUGUGGGGAUGUGACUCAGUGGUAGUGACAAGGGUCUGUGGCGAUGCACUGGCAGCAAGAAGAUGGAAGUGGGGCAGACAAGAACCAAAUUGGGACUUGAGAGUUGACCAAUAGUUUCCAAAACUUAGCAUAAAUUUGGACCAAUAGCAUUGGUACUUUUUCCAAACCCUCAUUAGCAUAAGAUGGGAACAAUACCCCUGACCCCAAGGGCUAUAUAAACCCCACAGGAGGCAGGGGAGACAAAGAAACUGUGUUAUCAUUGUUUUUGUUUGUUUCUUUGUUUUGUUUUGUUUAGAUUCCCCCCCCCCCAGUGAAUAUCAUUAUCUUGGUUUGAGGAUUUCACGGUUUAAAUUCUGGAGAGAAGAACCUUGGGAAGAAAAUAAAUUGAUAUUUAGCUUCUGAGGUCAUCAGCAAGACUUAUGCUCUGCAGAUGCCUGUGACCACACAGACCCCUGACCUGCCAGCAGAAGUCAAAAUCCAGUGUCAUUUCCUAAGUCCUGGACUCAGUAAAACCGUGGAUUCAAUUCUCAGUUACCCACCCCCCCAAAAAAAAGAUUCAACAGUAAGUGCGUGAAAGAGACCUUGAGAAUGAAGUUUUUAGAUGCGACUGGCACACAGGGCCACGUUCUCCAAUUCUGCUGGUGGGUGGGGUCUGCGUGAGGCUUGGAACUGUCGCCUCUGUCAAGGCUACACCAUGUCCUCCUGUGGGGCAGCCCCCAGCCGCUCACCAUCCAUUUCUUCUUUCCUAAUUCUCGUGUGAAUUUGAAGAACGAAAUCCACACUUCAGGAUGAGUGAGUACAAGUUUUGGAAAAAGAAACAGGAUUCGAGGUGUCCUGUGCAAAAGGGUGACAGCAGGUUUUCUCCCAUAGAAUGUUCUAGCAUGGGGCUGCUGGUCUAAACUUAUGCUAUUGAAGGUUUGGAAAAGUAAUAAUGCUCUUGUUAGCCCUGAAUCCCAUUCAGAUUUACCUUACUUCUCUUUUCUCCCUGUUUAGGGGACACGAGGGAUUUAAGUCUAAAUUGCACAUCUCUGGAGGUGUCGGGGUGCUGCGGAUCUAGAGCACUGCAUGGAGUGUAGUUCUCGGAAAAAGGACUAAUAUUGGCCUUAAACUAUGCUAAUUAGGGUUUGAAAAAUGAUCAAUGGGAUUGUUCCAUUUUAUGCUAAUUAGGGUUUGGAGACACGCUAUUGGCCCCAUUUUAUGCUAAUUAGGGCUUGGAAACGCACUAGCGCUAUUGGUCCCAUUUUAUGCUAAUUAGAGCUUAGAAACGCACUAGCGCUAUUGGUCAACUCCCUAGGCUCCACCCUCAUGCAAAUCAAGAAGGGAAAGGUUCAGGUCUUCAGAUAGGGCUGCAGCCUUGCCUGGACCCUAACCUGGCUUCUCAGGGCGACUGGUUGGCUCACUACUCAGGCCAGCCACCCCUGUAUGGCGGGUUCACGCAGCUUGGCAGCCACAGAGCCAUGUCACCAGGGCCUCAUGCUAGGCAAGCGCUGUCCCACUGAGCCACAUCCCUGGUACCCUACAUACCUUCACUGGUACAGAUGAGCAUCCUGGGGUUCAGAGAGAGACAGAUUUACCUGCCUGCGACCAGAAACAGCACGGGGCAGCUGCAGAGAACUCACUUUGCCCUUCCACACCUGGCCAUUUCUCUACAGGGUCUGACAGUCCCUCCAGGCUAUAGGACCCUGGGUACUUCCCUUCUGAAAUAGUCCCCAAAGUUACCUGGGCCCCAGCUUCUCACAACUACUAAGGUCACCCACUUGCCGUGAGAGCUGUUGUCCCCAAGCAAUUAUUAAUAGGGCCUCCUCCCCUUCCCAGAAGUGUCCUGUGUCUGGGACAAAUUGCUUGGCCACCCGCUUCCUCACCCUCCCCUGGCCAAUGGCUGUGGGGAACCUCUCAAGCUGUGUCUCCUUUCCUUCUUCCAAGUCACCCGAGUCCAGGUCGGAGUUCUUUCACGAUUUUUUGAACGCCCAAGAGAAAAAAAGAAAAAGUGAAAUGCGGUCAGCAGAUAUCUCUACACCGGCCAUGUCCCUUCCCUGGGGGCAGGGCCUGCUGGUUCCUUCUGUCCACUUCAUAGGACAUGCUCCCAGAAAUGGGCUGACAUUGAAUGCAAAGCUGUUUUUUUCCUUCUAGAAGGGAGCUUCUGCUUAAUCCCAGACUCCUCUGAUACAGCAUGAAACCUAUCCGGGUCGCAGUUCAAUGCAUGUCACCUAACGUGCGGACCAAGUAGGUGCUCAACGAAUAACUUAACCACUAGCAUUAACUGACAGGAAAGGAGAUACCGGGCUCUCCCUCCUCUUUGCAAGGCCUGGAGGUGGUAUUCACAGGGUUUCCAAAUUAAGAUUCUAGAACUGCUUCUGUAUCCUUCAAAUGGUCCAAUUUGAGGUUCUGAGGCCACAAUCUAGGCGCAGGGUUUGCGCGAUUUGUGGCUCUCCAGCGACACCUGGUGGCCAUACUUAGAUCUACAUCUUUAAGAAAACCCUAUUUUUGAAGUCUCAAACUAGGAUGGACAUAGAGGAGGGGAAAUUGAAAAGGUGAAACGGUGGCCAUCGGGGGUUCUGGGGAAAGCAACUCGGUGGUAAAAGAGGAAACCUAAGCGGAUGCGAUGGUGCAUGCCUGUCAUCCCAGCAGCUCAGGAGGCUGAGGCAGGAGGAUCACAGUUCAAGGCCAGCCUCAGCAACAGCAAGG